rnacentral:rRNA from 1 species
AUUACCGCGGCUGCUGGCACGGAGUUAGCCGGUGCUUCUUCUGCGAGUAACGUCAAUUGAUGAGCGUAUUAAGCUCACCACCUUCCUCCUCGCUGAAAGUGCUUUACAACCCGAAGGCCUUCUUCACACACGCGGCAUGGCUGCAUCAGGCUUGCGCCCAUUGUCCAAUAUUCCCCACUGCUGCCUCCCGUAGG